UAUCUUUUACAAUAUUUCCCUUUAAUGAGAAAAAUAUAUAACGUUAUACCAGUGUUUCCAUUAAUACCUGUAACAAUUAUGUAGUUUGUGGUAGGUAGAAGAUUAGCAGAUACCACUUAUGCAAAGAAGUCCCUAAUUUGCAUAAUAGUGCAUGAAAUUAAUGUGAAAGUGUCCUAAUUCAUCUAAGUACGUGUAGUAAAUGUUUGGAUUGUCAAUACUUGUUACCUACAAGUUAGUUAAAGGUAAUCAAGCAUAAAUUAUGCAGAUGUGAAAGUCAUUUGCAUAAUCAAAAUAUUUCAUGGAGGUAUGAGGUCUCCAAACUCUUGUUUUCCUCUGUUUUUAUUACAGCAACUGUUUUGUUACCUUGAGUUCUCAUUCCUAGCAUUGUUUUGGCACUGUUAUAAUGACUGUUUUGUGUUCAGGAGAACAAGGUACACCAGAAAGGAUGAACAAGACAUGCUGCUGUACGCAGCUAUAUUUGGUGGAGUAAUUGCAAAGCCGACAAAUUUAAAGUUAUGGAAAUAGCUGAAAGAACAUGAGGUAUAUGUAUGUAUAGUGUUGUCGACAUAGAAAACAAACUAUCAUCUAAUUAUCAGAAUAUGAUCGUGACUAGGACGGUUCAUGGUUCUAAGUAACCUGUAAGCAUAUGCAGGUCUAAAGUGAAGGCCCCAGACACAUAAACAAUUUGUGUAUGACACUAAAACAAAUUUACCAACAGAGUUUGUAUGUCAUGUGUAUUGAAGCAUUGGUCCAGACAAAGAAUCACUGUUUACAAGUCCAUGGCCUUCACCCUUGCUCAAUUGCAUACUGAAGAAAAUCAUCAACCUCCUUGGGAAGAAGUGCAUGAUCAAACAUGUCUUUAAUUGAUAACAAGUCUUGUUUAGUCUUGUUGGCUUUGUUUUUUGGGUCAUAUUAAUACCCGGUAAGCACACUGCAUGGUGCACUGCCAAUUUGUUGCCUGUGUCACAAUUUGUACAUUCCUGAGGCCUCUUGACCUGGGUGUAAUUCAUGAUAGGUGACACCUGCUGUACAUUUGUCUACUGCAGGAAACAACCCAUCCAGCAUCAUCCAUGCAUAAACAUUAUUUAAUGUUCCUGAAGGACGAACCACUGCCUGAGGUUCAAAGGUGGAGAUAUUGCGCCCUCCUGCCGGCCUAAAACCAGAGCAUAUGUCAGGCGCAAGCCUGCACCCAACAGGAGGCAGCGGCAAGAGCCAGAAAUAAGUGGACACCCCAGCCUGAACCAUGCACCAGCAAGCAGCAGUUGUAGCAGUGAUGAGGAGACAGACCAUGAGAUAGUGAGAGAUGCUGCCAGCACACAAGGUGGAGAUAUUGCGCCCUCCUGCCGGCCUAAAACCAGAGCAUAUGUCAGGCGCGAGCCUGCACCCAACAGGAGGCAGCGGCAAGAGCCAGAAGAGCUCUACUAUACCAGUCCCCACCACCACGAGUGGGGAGGGCAGCUCUCUCCGAGAAACAUCUAUAGAGAUGAGUCGUCGUACGGUUGUGGAACGACCACCGCGGGCACCAACAUGCCGCCGAUGAGCCCAAACAGCUCCAAGGGCAGACGGUGGAAGCGUGCGCCAAACAACCAGGGGAGCUUACGGAGCUUAUGUACAGGCUAACCCCACUAACAGUAUAUUGUUGUCCACAUCCAAAAACUUAUAUAAGUUUGGCCUGACAAUUUUGUAGUUUACAGCUAUAAACCCUCUCCAACAAGAUCUCUUCAGUGUCACUGACGGAAACUACUGUGGUUAGUAUUUAAACAUCAGACCAUUUCCAAAACCAUAUCCAGUUGCUUGAGUAACUACUUUUUGGCGUAUCUUAUUACCUGGAUUUCUAACCUACAUCGACGAAUAGUAGCUUUUACAUUAAAAUCUAUGUGAACUGACAGGUAAUUGCUUCUGGUUACUACAGAAGUUCUGUUUUGAUACAAAUGAAAUUGAUUGGCACAAUUACAUGUGGGUUCUAUUUCCUCAGUAGUCCCUGACGGCAAAAGAAGAACCAUUUGUGGUGUGGCGGACUCGGCACACCACUUGGGCAAUCCUACAAUGGAAAUGGGCUGCUGGAGAUGAGGAAGGCAGUGUUAGAGACUGCAGAAGAUCUAGAGAAGCACCUGUGGACCCACGCUCGUACCCAGCGCCGCAAAAAAGCCAUAGGAUUAGAUCGUGGGCUGAUAAGUCACAAUCCACCUCAGGCUGAACAAAAUAAAGUCAAUGGAAUUCA